GGAUACAGGUGGUGCAUGGUUGUCGUCAGCUCGUGUCGUGAGAUGUUGGGUUAAGUCCCGCAACGAGCGCAACCCUUAUUAUCAGUUGCCAGCAUUAAGUUGGGCACUCUGGUGAGACUGCCGGUGACAAACCGGAGGAAGGUGGGGAUGACGUCAAAUCAUCAUGCCCCUUAUGACCUGGGCUACACACGUGCUACAAUGGAUGGUACAACGAGUUGCGAACUCGCGAGAGUAAGCUAAUCUCUUAAAGCCAUUCUCAGUUCGGAUUGUAGGCUGCAACUCGCCUACAUGAAGUCGGAAUCGCUAGUAAUCGCGGAUCAGCAUGCCGCGGUGAAUACGUUCCCGGGUCUUGUA
rnacentral:rRNA from 1 species